GGGAAAAUAGGUGGAAAUUCAAAAAUCAAGUGAAAAAAGGUGGUGAGUCAAUUGUUUCGGGUAAGAGACUGUACCCGAGGAUGGAGGAUAGGAGUAUUUCUACUCCUAAUAUUGCUCAGGACAGUUUGUAGAUAGUCGAGUAGGACGAGAACUAAGCUCGAAAUUGCAUUAUA
rnacentral:sRNA from 1 species